AGGAGGGGUAUUGAGACGAGGCUACUGUCAACCGAUCUAAAGCACUUUCUGAAGCAGUCACGUGGUAUUGAGGGGCAGCGAGGCUUGGUUUGUCAUCGGCGACGUCACUGGCCCAAAACAAUACAAGCCUCGAUACAAGCUUAACAAAAAGCUUCGGGGAUUACUCGACACACGCUCCGAAGCCUCGGCGCAAUACGUAACGUCACUAGUUAGCUGAUCGUUACUCGUAGUGCAGCUCAGUGAGUUUCAUCAGAGAGUCAGGACGGUUCUUCUUACACCUCCAUGGUCCGGACAGCCCGCGGGAUGAAGGCCUGUGUCACCGGGCUGCUGCACUGCCUGCUGGUGGGACACAUCUCGAGCUGGGAGGACGGCAGCGUGCUGCUGCGGGACGUCCAGGCGCUGACACUGUACCGGGGCCGCUACACCACGGCGAGGCGCUCCAGCCCCGUGCUGCAGCUGCAGUGUGUGGGGGGGUCUGCGGGGUGCCAGACCUUCAGCCCAGAUGUGGUCCAGUGUCAGAACAAAGGCUGGGAUGGGGUGGAUGUACAGUGGGAGUGUAAGACUGAUAUGGACAAUGCCUACCGAUUUGGUCGCAUUGAGGUGAGCUGUGAGGGCUACAGCCAACCUGCUGACGCCUUCAUCCUGAGGGGCUCCUGUGGGCUGGAGUACACUCUGGAGCUGACUGAAGGGGGUCGGAGGACAGCCCAGGGCAGCGGGGGCACGCAUGGUGGAUCUAAAGGAGGUCUGGGGGGCUUUGCCUCCAGUUUCUUCAGCGGUUUCUCUGGAAACAAGCAUCAGGGUCAACAGCAGAGCCAGCAGAGUGCGUCCCCCUCAGGCGGGGAGGACUCAGCAGGCCUGCUGGGGGUCGCUGUGCUUCUGCUCUUAGCCUUCGGAGUCUACAAGCUUUUCCUCAGUGGGAACAUGGCCCAGGGGGGGCAGGACGGAGGACAGGCUGGAGGACAGGCUGGAGGACAGGCUGGAGGACAGGCUGGAGGACAGGCUGGAGGACAGGCUGGAGGACAGGCUGGAGGACAGGCUGGAGGACAGGCUGGAGGACAGGCUGGAGGACAGGCUGGUUACCCAAGAGAUGAUCACCACAGCUCCAGCACAGGACCCCCGCCCCCGGGAUUCAAACCUGACUUCACAGGCAGCUCAGGCUAUGCUGGUGCCGACCCUGGCUACGGUUUCCACAGCGACUACACUCGCAGACAACAGUUCCCAGGAGGCCAGGCUCGCCCUACAACAGGUGGAGGCUUCUGGACUGGGAUGGGAACAGGAGGGCUGCUGGGAUAUAUGUUUGGCAGUCAGAGGGCCUUCUGGGUGUUUGUGUUUCAGAAGUCAGCCCCACAGCAACUCCUACUCAUCGUACACUGACAGACGUCCUGCUGCUGGAGGCUCCUCCACCUCUUCCUCUGGGACACGCACUGCUUCAGGGUUUGGAGGAACCAAGAGAAGAUAGAGGCCGUGGAGCUGGACGGACCAUGGAUGGCACUGAGAAUAAUACAAGAACAUAGAAACACAUGAUGAAGCAUCAGGAGAAGACCUUUCUUCAUGCACAGAGGAAUGUGUCCACCAACACAGUAACAGCCCCGUCUGAGUUACUUCUUCUCUGAAGGGUGCUUCGGUGUUGUUUGGAAAAGCUUUGCAUUACUUUGAUGUGUUUUCAGAAGAUGAUGUUGCCGUUGUUAAUUGGUUCAAUUCGAAUUUUGUAUGCAGAUGACAUAUUGCAGUGUGAAUCCAGUGUGAAUAAAUGUUAUUUGUUUAUUAAUUGUA